rnacentral:tRNA from 16 species
GCGGACUGGUGAGCGGGGGGGACUUCAAAGCGGGAGCGA